CUGGUGUAGAUUUGCCUGUGAGUGGGGCUUUUGCUCUGCACCUUUGCAGAGAGGCAUGUGAGUGUUUCUGCCAGCUCUGCUCCACAUGUCUUCAUUUUGCAACCCAGGCUGUUGAAGUAACAUUUAUCUGGAACAUAAAUGGUCAUCUUGAUACAGAGAAGAGAGACUUACACCACACACAGACUUUUUACUUUUUAAAAACAGCUUUAUUGAGGUAUAAUUUCUUUUCCAUAAAUUCACCCAAGUUAAUGAUUUUUAGGAAAUUUACGGAGCUAUACAACUGAUCACUGCAAUCCAGUUUUAGAACAUUUCAUUUUUAUCACUCCCAGGAAAUCUCCCGUCCCCAUUUACAGUGAACCCACAUUUGUGCCCCCAGCCCUGGGGCAACCAUCAAUCUUUCUGUCUAAAAACCUGCCUUUUAGGGCUAUUC
rnacentral:lncRNA from 1 species